rnacentral:rRNA from 1 species
UACGAAGGGGGCUAGCGUUGCUCGGAAUCACUGGGCGUAAAGGGCGCGUAGGCGGCGUUUUAAGUCGGGGGUGAAAGCCUGUGGCUCAACCACAGAAUGGCCUUCGAUACUGGGACGCUUGAGUAUGGUAGAGGUUGGUGGAACUGCGAGUGUAGAGGUGAAAUUCGUAGAUAUUCGCAAGAACACCGGUGGCGAAGGCGGCCAACUGGACCAUUACUGACGCUGAAGCGCGAAAGCGUGGGGAGCAAACAGG